GACUCCAUUAAGCAUCCUGAUGCUUGUACUUGGGUCGAAGACGAUAAGCCCAAAUCUGAUACCGGAUAAAAGCGAUCUGCAAGGAGGGAGAGAGAGAGAGAGAAGAAGAAGAAGAAGAAGAAAAAUGGCGUUGGUGUGGUUGGAAGCUGCACUGCCUUUGGGGAUUAUCGCCGGCAUGCUCUGCGUCGCCGGAAAUAUUCAGUACUUCGUCCACAAGGCAUAUCAUGGCCGGCCGAAGCAUAUCGGAAACGACGUUUGGGACGUAGCUAUGGAAAGGCGGGACAAGAAGCUUGUUGAGAUGCUUUCAGCUCCUCCUCCUUCUGAUUAGAUCCCUUCGCCUUUCUGAUCCCCCUUUCAACAGGCUGAAGACGAAUAAGAUAUUUUCAAAAUUGUUGUCAGUUGCUGAAGUUGUAAUUGAAGUUGCAGAGGCAUGUAUUCUUGGUUUCUUAUUUUACUUUCAAAGAUGGCGUGAACAUGGUGCAAUAUUACUUUUUAUCUGGAAAAAAUGUCAGAAGGAUGUUUCAAAUUAUGGUCAAAAUUUCACUGGAUCUUCUAUUUUAGCC